ACAUAGAUUUUAGCUACUCUAAUUUUUAACGGGAGAGCUCCGUUGCGAAAAUUUACUUCGCAAAUAAUAGUAUAGAUUGAAAUUGGCGUUGACUUCUAAAGACUAGGCAUAAAUUUCAAAUUUUUGAUUAGUUAAGGUAUGUUUUGGCAUGCAAUAAGAGUUGGGGUAUGUAUUUUUUUAUCGAUCCAUAAUUCAGGCAUGAAUUUUAAAUUUUUGAUUAGUGUAGGUAUGUUUUGACUUGCAGUAAAAGUUGAGGUAUGUAUUUUCUCAGCAAUCCCUAGUUCGGGCAUGAAUAAGCCGUUUUCC
rnacentral:lncRNA from 1 species